rnacentral:tRNA from 1 species
AUUAAGUAGUUCAAUGAAUAUUGUGCUGAAGAUACAAAGGAAAAUUUUUAAUUUCUUAAAUA